GGGCAGACUUGAGUGCGGUAGGGGAGAUUGGAAUUCCUGGUGUAGCGGUGGAAUGCGCAGAUAUCAGGAGGAACACCGAUGGCGAAGGCAGAUCUCUGGGCCGUAACUGACGCUGAGGAGCGAAAGAGUGGGGAGCAAACAGGCUUAGAUACCCUGGUAGUCCACUCCGUAAACGUUGGGAACUAGUUGUGGGGGCCUUUCUACGGUUUCCGUGACGCAGCUAACGCAUUAAGUUCCCCGCCUGGGGAGUACGGCCGCAAGGCUAAAACUCAAAGGAAUUGACGGGGACCCGCACAAGCGGCGGAGCAUGCGGAUUAAUUCGAUGCAACGCGAAGAACCUUACCAAGGCUUGACAUAUACCGGAAACGGCUGGAAACAGUCGCCCCCUUGUGGUCGGUAUACAGGUGGUGCAUGGUUGUCGUCAGCUCGUGUCGUGAGAUGUUGGGUUAAGUCCCGCAACGAGCGCAACCCUCGUUCUAUGUUGCCAGCACGUUAUGGUGGGAACUCAUGGAAUACUGCCGGGGUCAACUCGGAGGAAGGUGGGGAUGACGUCAAAUCAUCAUGCCCCUUAUGUCUUGGGCUUCACGCAUGCUACAAUGGCCGGUACAAUGGGCUGCGAUACCGUGAGGUGGAGCGAAUCCCAAAAAGCCGGUCCCAGUUCGGAUUGUAGUCUGCAACUCGACUACAUGAAGUCGGAGUCG
rnacentral:rRNA from 1 species